GAGACUUUAGUUCAAUGGUAGAACAUAUGACUAAUCAUUAUAGUACGGGUUCGAAUCCUGUAAGUCUUA
rnacentral:tRNA from 1 species